rnacentral:lncRNA from 1 species
GAAAAGAUCUGAAGAUACGCCCCUUGGAUGCCUGCAGAGAAGCUCUGGGGCUUCAGUCAAUGACUCAGGGUAGCCACCGAACAUGAUGCUCGGGCAGUGGGUGCCACCUGGACUCCACUCUCCCCUCUCUCUGGGAUCAUAGAGUCCAAGGUGUUCUGUGGCCUCUCGGCCAAUCCCAGCAGCUCAGCGUGCAGAAGACCGAGGAGCCAUUGGAAUUCAACACAACACGAAAUAAUCAACAAAUUCGGGGAAUGUUAAUCUGACCAUCACCAGUUACAAAUGAUGUUUCAUGCUACCUUCUAUUCCUGCCUUCAUAAAUCAAGGAAAAGAAAAAGAGAACAUAUAUCCCCCUACCUUUUGAUUUCCAACAGUCUACUGAGAGGCCAAGAUUAUUUGCAGGGAAAGAAAAGGGGUCAAAAUGUUUUGCCAGUAACUCCCAAAUCAUCUACAGCCAAGGAGAAAAGUGUUUCAAGACAGAGGUGCUCAAUGGUAUCAAAUACUGCCAACAGACCAAGUAAUACAUGCAUUGAAGUGUCUACUGGAUCUAGCUAUAUGAUUCCACAGCUGUUUUAUAGUAACUCAGAGUUUGAAGAGAAAUUACUCCUGCAGUACCAGUUUCCAAAAUGCUUUGUAGCAUCUUCUCAAAAAACAAAUGGGAAGAAGCCAAUCAGAAAUAAGGUAGAAUUGGCCAGGCACGGUGGCUCAUGCCUGUAAUCCAGCACUUUGGGAGGCCAAGGUGGACGGAUCACCUGAGGUCAGGAGUUUGAGACCAGCCUGGCCAACAUGGGAAACCCUGUCUCUACUAAAAAUACAAAAAUCAGCUGGGCAUGGUGGCACUUGCCUAUAAUCUCAGCUACUUGGGAGGCUGCGGCAGAAGAAUCGCUUGAACCUGGGAGGCGGAGGUUGCCUCCCGGUGAGACAAGAUUGCACCACUGCGCUCCAGCCUGGGCAACAGACCGAGGCUCUGUCACGAAAAAAAAAAAAAAAAAAAAAAGAAAAGAAAAACAAAAAAGAAGAAAGAAGGUAGAAUAAAUAAAAG